rnacentral:misc_RNA from 1 species
GAUGAAGAACGUAGUGAAAUGCGAUAAGUAAUGCGAAUUGCAGAAUUUCCGUGAGUCAUCGAAUCUUUGAACGCACAUUGCGCCCUCUGGUAUUCCGGAGGGCAUGCCUGUUCGAGCGUCAUUAUCACCCCUCAAGCCCGGCUUGUUGUUGGAUGCAGCGCUUAUCCCGCUCCUCCCAAAGAUAAUGACGGCGUCUGCGACGACUCCUGUACACUGAGCUUUCGGGCACGUACACGGCUAGAAGUCCAGACCCGGUCGCCGUCCCCCCCGCGGGGACACCCAUUACCACAAGGUUGACCUCGGAUCAGGUAGGAAUACCCGCUGAACUUAAGCAUAUCAAUAAGCGGAGGA